GGUUAAUGCUAGCGGGAGGCUUAACACAUGCAAGUCGAGGGGCAGCAUAGAGUAGCAAUACUUUGAUGGCGACCGGCGCACGGGUGAGUAACGCGUAUGUAACCUACCUUGUACAGGGGGAUAGCCCGGAGAAAUUCGGAUUAAUACCCCAUAAUGAUAUUUGAAGGCAUCUUUAGAUAUUUAAAGUUUCGACGGUACGAGAUGGGCAUGCGUGACAUUAGCUAGUUGGUAAGGUAACGGCUUACCAAGGCUACGAUGUCUAGGGGUCCUGAGAGGGUGAUCCCCCACACUGGUACUGAGACACGGACCAGACUCCUACGGGAGGCGGCAGUGAGGAAUAUUGGUCAAUGGGCGUAAGCCUGAACCAGCCAUCCCGCGUGAAGGAAGAAGGCGCUAUGCGUCGUAAACUUCUUUUCCGGAGGAAUAAAAUUUCGUACGUGUACGGGACUGAAGGUACUCCGGGAAUAAGCAUCGACUAACUCCGUGCCAGCCGCCGCAGUAAAAC
rnacentral:rRNA from 1 species